AUGAAAACAAUGGCGCAAGCCCUCAUGAGAAUGAGUCUUUUUUUGGAGUACGCGAAGAAAGAGGCAAAGCGCCAACUUUAUCAUGGUUGCACCAAGUUUUCAAAGUUCUCCUUUGUGGUAAAGCUUCUUCAUAUGAAGUCAUACCAUAGGAUCAGCAAUACUGCAUUUUCUGAAAUAUUAAAGCUAUUGGCUGAAGCAUUCCCUGAUACCAAUACACUCCCAAAAUCAUAUAAUGAAGCAAAAAACCUUCUGAAGGAAUUAGGUCUUGGAUAUGAGACGAUACAUGCGUGCUUCAACAAUUGUGUUCUUUUCAGAAAGCAAUAUGCCAAGAAUGAUAAUUGCCCAGUUUGUGGUCUAUCAAGAUAG
rnacentral:rRNA from 1 species